CCUACGAGAGGCAGCGGUGGGGAAUAUUGCACAAUGGGGGGAACCCUGCUGCAGCGACGCCGCGUGAGUGAAGAAGUAUUUCGGUAUGUAAAGCUCUAUCAGCAGGGAAGAAAAUGACGGUACCUGACUAAGAAGCCCCGGCUAACUACGUGCCAGCAGCCGCGGUAAUACGUAGGGGGCAAGCGUUAUCCGGAUUUACUGGGUGUAAAGGGAGCGCAGACGGCUGUGCAAGUCUGGAGUGAAAGGCGGGGGCCCAACCCCCGGACUGCUCUGGAAACUGUAAAGCUGGAGUGCAGGAGAGGUAAGCGGAAUUCCUAGUGUAGCGGUGAAAUGCGUAGAUAUUAGGAGGAACACCAGUGGCGAAGGCGGCUUACUGGACUGCAACUGACGUUGAGGCUCGAAAGCGUGGGGAGCAAACAGGAUUAGAUACCCUAGUAGUC
rnacentral:rRNA from 1 species